CUCCACUCCAUCUAUCUCGGCUAGCUCUUCUUCACUUUUUGCGACGAUGGCUGAGUAUUAUUUUGACGAUUUUGAGUAUACGACUUACCAGAACGACAUCAUCGACAGCCAGGGUUUCUAUGUGUCGAAUGAUGUCGGGUUGAAGAUACCGUGCGGUAUACGGCGAGUGAGCCGUUGCGACGGCGCCGCCUACAAGAAAGCGGAGGCGGCGGCCCGGUUCGCGAUUGAGAAGCACAACAACCAGAGCGA